rnacentral:rRNA from 1 species
AUUACUGGGCGUAAGCGCACGCAGGCGGUUUGUUAAGUCAGAUGUGAAAUCCCCGGGCUCAACCUGGGAACUGCAUUUGAAACUGGCAAGCUAGAGUCUCGUAGAGGGGGGUAGAAUUCCAGGUGUAGCGGUGAAAUGCGUAGAGAUCUGGAGGAAUACCGGUGGCGAAGGCGGCCCCCUGGACGAAGACUGACGCUCAGGUGCGAAAGCGUGGGGAGCAAACAGGAUUAGAUACCCUGGUAGUCCACGCUGUAAACGAUGUCGAUUUGGAGGUUGUGCCCUUGAGGCGUGGCUUCCGGAGCUAACGCGUUAAAUCGACCGCCUGGGGAGUACGGCCGCAAGGUUAAAACUCAAAUGAAUUGACGGGGGCCCGCACAAGCGGGUGGAGCAUGUGGUUUAAUUCGAUGCAACGCGAAGAACCUUACCUACUCUUGACAUCCAGAGACUUUCCAGAGAUGGAUUGGUGCCUUCGGGAACUCUGAGACAGGUGCUGCAUGGCUGUCGUCAGCUCGUGUUGUGAAAUGUUGGGGUUAAAGUCCCGCAACGAGCCGCAACCCCUUAUCCUUUGUUGCCAGCGGUUCCGGCCGGGAACCUCAAAAGGAGACUGCCCAGUGAUAAACCUGGAGGAAAGGUGGGGGGAUGACGUCAAGGUCAUUCAUGGCCCUUAACGAGUAGGGGCUUACACACGGUGCUACAAUGGCAUAUACCAAGGAGAAGCGACCUCCGCGGAGAGCAAGCGGGACCUCAUAAAGGUAGUGUCGUA